GCUAGUCUUCCCAGAAAGAAGAGCCCCCACCCCAACUCUGAAAAGCCUUCAGAGAGAAUCUGAGCCUCCUUGCAACCCGUGUUGGCAUGGUGGUGGGCAAAGCUGCCCACUUAUGUAACUCUGGGUUUGAAGUCCCACUCCAUGGCUGCUGCUGCUUUUUUAAAUCCCGAAGGGGGAAAGAAGCCCUAACCAAACACAACAGUAAACAAGUCUGCCCUGUUUAAUGUGGUUACCACCAGACAUCUGGAAAGAUGGUUUGAUCCUGGCAGCUCACAUUGUUUUCACGAGCAGCCAAAGAGAAUAUUUCGAAUGUUUGCAUUGAGACAAAUUGAUAGAGAGCCUGUGGUGAGGCGGCUGCAGAUGAAAACUGUCUUGGAGCUAGGCAGGGGGGAAGAGCCCUGGACCAGCGCUUAAAACAAAAACUAUCCACUGGGGGAGCGGGGGGAGUGGACUAACCAACAAACAGCCCAUUACAUGGUUCUAAGGUCACUUGCAGAAAGCAU
rnacentral:lncRNA from 1 species